rnacentral:rRNA from 1 species
UACGUAGGGUGCGAGCGUUGUCCGGAAUUAUUGGGCGUAAAGGGCUCGUAGGCGGUUUGUCGCGUCGGGAGUGAAAUCCACUGGCUUAACUGGUGGCUUGCUUUCGAUACGGGCAGACUGGAGGUAUGCAGGGGAGAACGGAAUUCCUGGUGUAGCGGUGAAAUGCGCAGAUAUCAGGAGGAACACCGGUGGCGAAGGCGGGUCUCUGGGUAGUAACUGACGCUGAGGAACGAAAGCGUGGGUAGCGAGCAGG